AACGAACGCUGGCGGCAGGCUUAACACAUGCAAGUCGAGCGCCCCGCAAGGGGAGCGGCAGACGGGUGAGUAAAGCGUGGGAAUCUACCCAUCUCUACGGAAUAACGCAUGGAAACGUGUGCUAAUACCGUAUACGUCCUUCGGGAGAAAGAUUUAUCGGAGAUGGAUGAGCCCGCGUUGGAUUAGCUAGUUGGUGGGGUAAAGGCCUACCAAGGCGACGAUCCAUAGCUGGUCUGAGAGGAUGAUCAGCCACACUGGGACUGAGACACGGCCCAGACUCCUACGGGAGGCAGCAGUGGGGAAUAUUGGACAAUGGGCGCAAGCCUGAUCCAGCCAUGCCGCGUGAGUGAUGAAGGCCCUAGGGUUGCAAAGCUCUUUCGCCGGUGAAGAUAAUGACGGUAACCGGAGAAGAAGCCCCGGCUAACUUCGUGCCAGCCGCCGCAGUAAAAC
rnacentral:rRNA from 1 species